rnacentral:lncRNA from 1 species
AGGACACAUACAUCCCAUCCAAGCUUCUCAGAGAGUUUCAAUGAGAAGGAGAACCCAAAGCAAAAGUUUGAAAAACAGGAGUGAAUCGGUGGUGUUACAGUGGAACAGUGAAGAGAGAUGUUUUGAUGGCAGCAACAGAAAACUCCAGCAGCAAGUGCUACUUGUAUGGGGCUGGAGUGAAGAAAGGUCAAAGGAAGACUGAGUGCAACAAGAUUGCCUGCAAGCCUUAGGAAAGGAGACUCCAUGCCAAACAUAUUUAGAUUUUUAAAUCUACUGCUUCACUUGACCUGUCUGAUGACUGAAAUCCUGAAAUUGUACUGAAGUGAGCAAUAACAUUGAU